rnacentral:lncRNA from 1 species
UUUAUUUUUUAAUUUUAAAUUAUCUUAAAUAGAUUAGAGAGUAAUGAUAAAAUGUAUAGUCAGUUUAAAUUAAAAUAGAAAUUUAAGUAAUUACCAAUUGGAUAAUUGGAUAUUUUAUCUGUAAUGUCAGAUGUUUAUUACCCUUAUUUAUAGAGGUAGAUGCUAAUUUUGGUUCAUUAACAUUAUUAUACUAAUUCAAGAAAUACUUUAUCAUUUUAAUUUUUCAUUAAGGUACCUUAAAAUUGUCAUUUAAAAGUACUUUUUCAAAGUUCAACUUACCAUUUUGUAAUAUUAACCUAUUUUCUAAAAUUACAGACCCAUUUUAUUAAAGUCUUACUGUUGUGUGAUUAAUGUUCUACCCUAUCUUAGUAAAUUUACAAAAUGCUGUGUUUACACUUAGUUCUCAUUGAGCUGUUACUCUCCCGAGUCUGGAACUUUUUUCAUAAAGCUAAAUUCAUAGUAUUUCAGUUACUUUCUAUAGCUGUGUUGCUCAAUAAUAGCAUCCAGUGAACUUUAGUUUUUUUUGUUUUUCCUGUAUUUUAUUAAAAUAUUUCAUCUAAAGAUGACUGAAGUGAUGUAGAGAUACUUGUAUUAAUUUGUAUCCCCCAUCUACUUUUGGAUCCCUAUUGCAUUGCAAACCUAUAAAUCUCUUUUAACUUGAUUGAGAUAGAAACGUUAAUGAGACUUGAGCUGUCAAUCAAUAAAGAAGAUGUAGAUUCAUAUGUGGUGUCCUAGAAUUUCCACUCCAUGUAUAGUUGGAACUACAUCAAGAUCAGCUUUAAUCUAUAAUUUCCUUAUUCUGUAAACUGUGUAAUUGUUUCAUAAUAUUAACUUUGAGGAUGAUGAAUGGUGCUGAUGCUCCUAAAUUUGUAGGUAAUGAUUGAUAUAUAUGUCAAUAAAAUACUUUCCUAAU